rnacentral:rRNA from 1 species
AUGAAUAAUAAAACUCCAAAGUUUUUAUCUAUUUUUUUGGCGCAAGCUCUUAAUAAAGAUAAUAAAAAAAUACCUUUUAAAAGUAAAUCUGAAGUAGGAAAAAGAUACUUUCCCCCUGUAUCUAGGGAAUGAAAAAAUAGUAUUUAUGUAUUUAAUAAAAAUAAUAUAAAAAAUAUGCCUAUUUAUGAUUUAAAUAUUAAUUUAUUAAUUAAAAGUUUUUUUAAUUUGUAUUUUAAUCCUAAAUUUUUAUAUAAUAAAUAUAGAUCAUAUAAAACUAGAAGUAUUUCAUUAAAUAAAAUAUUUGCUAGUAAGGCAGAAGUAAAACAUACUAAUAAUAAAGCAGUUAUAACUGUAUAUGUCUAUAACAGAGAAAAAAUAUCUUUAUUAAAAAAAAUAAAAAAAUUAAACAAAAAUCUUUUUAAUUUAAUAGCUAAAUUUGCAGUUAUUUUAUAUAAGAAGGAAGGUGGCUGCAUACGAAGUCUGGCUGCUUCUAAUCCGGAGGAUAUGCAAACAAGCUAUAGUUCUGAUUUUAAGGAUUUAGCUAAAGCUGAUAACCAACCAGUAGCCCUACGAAGUCUGCAAGAAAUUUUUAAAUAUGAAAAAACUCUAACUAAAUCUUUUUUAAUUAAAAACUUAAGACUUCUUAGAAAAUAUAAAUUAAGACUAAAUCUUAAUAAAUAUAAAUUUGAAGAAAAACUUUUAUAUAAAUUGAAAAAUUUUAUAGUAAAAUAUUAUAAUAAGAAAGUUGAAUUUAAUAUUGUAAAUAUUAGAUCGGUGGUAUUUCAUAGUGAUUUUUUCACUAAUAUUUUACUAUCUAAAUUAAAAAAUAGAAGAGCUAAUAUAUUAAGAACGAUGGAUACUAUUUUAAAUAAGGUAGUUUUACCUAAAGUAAAUAGAAUAAUAGAAAAAAGUUUUCAUAUAAAAGGUAUAGAUUUUAAAUUAUUAGAAAAUAAAUAUCUAAAUACUAAAAUAAGUUAUAUACUAAGAGGGGGCAAGCUCGAUAAGAAUUUAUCUAAAUUCUUAAAUAAGUUAUUUUAUAACGUUAUGAGUGCCGCUGCCACAGCAGCAGCUUCACACCAGUGCCUUAAUAAAGAUUAUUUAAAAAUAUAUGAAAUAAUUUUUAAUUCUAUAAAUUAUAAAAAUAUGGGCGGUGUAAGAUUAGAAGCUAAAGGUAGAUUAACUAAACGAUAUAGAGCAGAUAGAUCUCAAUUUAAAGUAAGGUGGAAAGGAGGUUUGAAAAACAUUGAUUCUUCAUAUAAAGGAUUAUCAUCUAUAAAUAUGAGAGGUUUUGUUAAACCUAAUAUUGAUUAUUCAAUACUAGCAUAUAAACGUCGGAUUGGUGCUUUUGCAGUAAAAGGUUGAGUGUCAGGUAAAUCUUAA